rnacentral:tRNA from 1 species
CAUUAAGUAACUUAAGAUUAAAAGUAAUGGUCUCUUAAACCAAUGUAUAGUAUAUUAAUAAAUACUCUUAAUGA